rnacentral:lncRNA from 1 species
CCCAAAUCAAUCUUAUAUCUGUGUGCCAAAUAAUAUGACAAUCGAGCCUUCGCUUCAUUUAUUUCGUCAAGUGUGAAGUAUGAUCAAUGUCGUAGAACAUGAACAUGUGAAGAAUAACCAGCACAUCUAUGAACUGGUUGUCCUCAAAUUCCUUAGUAGUUGAGCGGACACGCCUUGUCCUGACCAUUCAAAUAAUGUUUGACCUCGAUCAUAUGAUGAUCACUCGGGAGGUGUAUAAUGUUCUUCCCACCCUUAACAAUGAGCUAUCUCCUCGGGACUAAACAUAAUCCACUUGUCUCCGACCCAAGUCUAAUGGUAAUGAAAAGAGUUGGAGUGUCAAGCUCGGAUUUAAAAUUUUCCAAAAGUUCCUUCACUAGUAAUAGGUAAACUGGAUGUGACAUCUUGGCAACAUUCUUCCAACCGAAGGCUUCAAUGACAUUAGUGAUCUCCAAAUUCAGGAAGUCUGUUAGAAUCACUAUCUGUAUGGGCCACCACUUCCAUUGCGUGAUCGUGUUGUUAAAGAGCUUUUGGUUCUCCGUAGUCAAGAAUCGAUGAAUUACAGCUUCGUCAAUGUGGGUACCCUUCCUUUCCCUCUUUCUGUUGCCAACCGAGCUUUUCUCUUCGGUGCCAUUGUACCAUCAAAUAAGAUCAAAUCGUGAAUACUAGAGAUACACUAAUGUCAUUUUAUAAAUAAAACACCUAAUAUUUGAGAAAAUAUGUGAACAGAGUGGGGGACUGAACCCCCACGGUGUGCUGUGUUGUGUAUGCGUGAAAAUAGAAUGUAGUGGAUGAAGUGUGUUUCGAGAAAAAAAUGGUGUCCAAAAAUCACCCUGAAACUAGUUGGGGUAUUUUAUCAAACAGCUUGUGUGUGUGAAGAACUGUUCCGCAUUCUUAUGACACUGGAUGAUCCUAUUAACCCAGUUUUUUUAAUCAUACAACACCACAAUGCAAACACCAUGACUUCAUAUCCUGUAAUCACUAUAUAUCACCAUAAUCAAAAUACAAGGGAUAAAAUUGCAUAUGACGAACUUCAAAACAUUGAUGAAUAUCCGCAAUUGCAUUCUAUUGUUGUCAAAUAUAUGAU